ACAGAGGGUUCGAUUCUGCCCAGAUUGAACGCUGGCGGGCUUUUAUGAAGGUGAACAGGUUCGCGAAAAUGACUCCUGGUCUUCAGGCUGAGUGGGUGAACGCGAGUAAUGUAUCGGAACGUGCCCAGUAGCGGGGAUAACUACGCGAAAGUGUAGCAUUACCGCGCAUACCCUUCGGGGGAAAGCGGGGGACCUUCGCCCGCACUACAGGAGCGGCCGAUAUCGGAUUAGGCUAGUUGGUGGGGCACCACCAAGGCGACGAUCCGUAGCUGGUUUGAGAGGAUGACCAGCCACACUGGGACUGAGACACGGCCCAGACUCCUACGGGAGGCAGCAGUGGGGAAUUUUGACAAUGGGGAAAUUCCUGAUCCAGCCAUCCCGCGUGCGAUGAAGGCUUCAGUUGUAAAGCACUUUGGCAGGAAAGAAACGGCACGGGGAUAAUACCCCGUGCAACUGACGGUACCUGCAGAAUAAGCACCGGCUAACUACGUGCCAGCAGCCGCGUGUUAUUGAAAAAAGCGUUAAUCGGAAUCACUGGCGGAAGGCGCAGGCGGUCGGAAAGAUGUGGAAAUCCAGAGCUUAACUUUGAACUGCAUUUUUAACUACCGAGCGAGUGUGUCAGAGGGAGGUGAAUUCCGCGUGUAGCAGUGAAUGCACAGGUGGAGAAUACUCCGAUGGCGAAGGUAACUGGGAUAACACUGACGCUCAUGCACGAAAGCGUGGGGAGCAAACAGGAUUAGAUACCCUGGUAGUCCACGCCCUAAACGAUGUCAACUAGCUGUUGGGGCCUUCGGGCUCGAAAGCGCAGCUAACGCGUGAAGUUGACCGCCUGGGGAGUACGGUCGCAAGAUUAACUCAAAGGAAUUGACGGGACUCCGCACAAGCGGUGGAUGAUGGGAUUACCCGAUAACGCGAAAACCUUACCUACCCUUGACAUGUUCGAAUCCCAUGAGAUUUGGGAGUGCUCGCAAGAGAACCGGAACACAGGUGCUGCAUGGCUGUCGUCAGCUCGUGUCGAGAUGUUGGGUUAAGUCCCGCAACGAGCGCAACCCUUGUCAUUAGUUGCUACGAAAGGGCACUCUAAUGAGACUGCCGGCACAACCGAGGAAGGUGGGGAUGACGUCAAGUCCAUGGCCCUUAUGGGUAGGGCUUCACACGUCAUACAAUGGUCGGGACAGAGGGUCGCCAACCCGCGAGGGACAAUCCCAGAAACCCGAUCGUAUUGAUCGCAGUCUGCAACUCGACUGCGUGAAGUCGGAAUCGCUAGUAAUCGCGGAUCAGCAUGUCGCGGUGAAUACGUUCCCGGGUCUUGUACACACCGCCCGUCACACCAUGGGAGUGGGUUUUACCAGAAGUAGUUAGCCUAACCGUAAGGAGUGGCGAUUACCACGGUAGGAUUCAUGACCUGGGGUGAAGUCGUAACAAGGUAA
rnacentral:rRNA from 1 species